GCCUUCGUGGUAUAGUGGUCAGCACGCUCGACGCGUAUUCGAGAGGUCCGUGGUUCGAGUCCCGGCGAAGGCA
rnacentral:tRNA from 1 species